CAGCACCUCAAGUGGUCAGGAUGAUUAUUGGGCCUAAAGCAUCCGUAGCCGGUUCUACAAGUCUUCCGUUAAAUCCACCUGCUUAACAGAUGGGCCGCGGAGGAUACUAUAAGACUAGGAGGCAGGAGAGGCAAGCGGUACUCAGUGGGUAGGGGUAAAAUCCGUUGAUCCAUUGAAGACCACCAGUGGCGAAGGCGGCUUGCCAGAAUGCGCUCGACGGUGAGGGAUGAAAGCUGGGGGAGCAAACCGGAUUAGAUACCCGCGUAGUCC
rnacentral:rRNA from 1 species